GCAUAUCUAUCGUACCUUCGGGCGACAAGUUGAACAGUGUAACUUAAGUGUUGAAAAUGAAACCUUAUAAUUCUGUGAAUCACAGUGUUAUACUAACUCAACUACCCCUGUUAUCUUAACGGAAAUCAGGGGAUCGAUCAAUUCGUGGUGUCAAUUGCUAUAAUCGCAACGGGAAUUUACGACUCCCGUUGACGUCUCUCCUCGCGAGUGCGUCUCCCCGCGAUUGGUCGAAAAUAUAAUAACUAUAAUGUAUUAAUAUAUUGGUAGCGCUGUAUAAAUUCUAUAUAUUAAUCCAGAUGAAACAUCACAGUGGUGUUUUCAUCCAGAAAAAGUAACUGUCUUCGUGUUAUGAAGGAAGUGCUUUAGGAAUGACGUAUCCUAAAUUCAGCCAAUACGAUCCUAUGUCUAUCGAGCAUUGUCCGGGCAAGCAGUCCAGCAGCAAUCUCGCGGUCGUUCCUUCUACUGGGGAAUGGUGGACGUCGAGCAGAGUUCCUCGUUGUAAUCGCAUAAUCAGCUUUGCCAAUUCGUCGUUCAAUGCUUCCUUAGAUUGAUUGGGCGGCUGCACACCUCGCAGGUUAAUCUUCCUUACCCAUGGUGCCAAGUUUACAAACUUGGCUGGUAAUAUUCUAAUCGAAUUGAACUGGUGGUGCUGUAUUAACCCCCAGUCGAUCAACAGAACGACGAAACCCGUUUCGGUUCGUCUUAGGAGCUGAGCCCUUUCGUAAAAAUAAUUAUUAUCCAUUUUUACUGGCACGGCGGUAAGCAUACCUAUGGACAAUUUUGCGAUGUUUGGCUGGUACGCCAUAGGCCACGAUUGCAUUAUCCAUGUGAGUCUCCUGGUCAUUCUCGGCCAUUCUUCCAGCCGGACCCAGACGGUAGUAAGCGAUUCCGUUUCUGACACGAAGAUGCGAACUUUGUCCACGAAACGUUCUCUCGGUCGCGCUUGUCGUUGUAUUUGCAUCUUCUGGCGUUCUUUCUCCUGAGCACACUGAUUUCUUGCGUGUUCCGCUUGGUUCGAGUUAUUUCACUGAGAAGUCCCUGUCACACACUCGGAAAUCUUGUCACGAAGUUGGAAUGUCAGCGUUUAACUAUGGUGAUUUUCUACUUGCUUCUUGUAAUAACUGGAUGUUUCUGAUUUUCCAGAAUUCGGGCUCCCUUAUAUAGGAGGCAAGAAUCCCUUCCACUGUGGUGGUUACCGCGGUGUUAUUGUUGAGGACAAUUAAAAUAAUAAUUCCCAAGGGCAAAGGCAAAUGACAAAGUCUAUUCCUCUCUUUUCCUUUAUUAGUAUCGAGACUAAUAAGGACUAAUUACAUCUAAUAAAGACAUUUAAUUAAAUAUCUGAUAAAUACCACAUUUUAGGAUUCGUAUACAGAGUGUGUCAUAACAUCUGUACAUCUUUUAAAAGAAACUUAAAAACUAACGAGAACCACUGGUUGUAAACCAAUAGUGUGGUUGUAAACCACUGUAGCAAAUUCGAUUUAUAUUUUAUGGAUCUUUACGGUUACAUAUGCGUACCAAUUAGGCGUUAAUUUGAUGACGAAUCGUUCGAAUCGUUGAUUCAAUUAUUUGUUUACUUAUUGAUUCAUAUCGGUGUAUAUCGGUGUAUCUGCUUUCUCUCAAGGGCAGCAGCAUUCUUUUCCAACGACCAACACGAAUUAGCCAAUAAACAUUAACGUACAUUUCCCUCACUUUCGCUCGCGAAUCGGCUAUCUCGAAGUAUCCCACCGCUACUACUAAUUUUGUUACGUGGUAGAGGUGAGUGGAGCCUAUUUCGAAAGAGAAUGUGGCUGACGAGCCAGUUUUAUCACCCGAGGCUGGGGAACUUGGUGUUUUGCGACCAAGACUGCACAGAGGGAUUCCAAAUGAAGUGACCUCGAUACGAUCAGAAGACUCCGUAAAGUCGUUAGAUUUAGUGAAAUCAAAGAAGGAAGGAGGAAAUAUAGAAUAAAAAUUUUUCGUUCGAGGCUUUGUUUUCGAGAAAAUCGACUUUGAAUUUUCGCUCGAUACGCGUGCACUUUAUCGCGUCUCGUUAUAACGGAUUUCACUUCUUCUUUUUUCGCGUAGAAUCACCCCCACCAGUUACCGACUACCCUGUAUAUUAUAUUACACAGUCGAAAAUAUAGAAUAAAAAUUUUUUUUAAUUUUUAAUUUUUCCAUCGAGACAACGAUCUACAGUGAGAUCCGUUAUAACGAGACGUGAUAAAGUAAACUAAGAACAUAAACUAAACAUAAAGUAAACUAGUAACAUAUCGAAACCUAUAUAAGAUACCUCAUACUAAUCAAUUUUUAUUUGUCGUUUUCACGAAUAUUUUGAUCGUAUCUAAAGAUCAUAUUAAUAUGUUUUAAUAAAAAGAUAAAAUGCUGUCCAUGGUAAAAAGGAAAAAGAAGAAAGAUAUUUUUGAAACAAAAAUAUGUUCAUGCACCGUGAACGUUCCGGUAUAUCGAGAAACUAAGCGAAUAGUUCGCAACGUGGUGGACGUUGUAGCUACGAGUCGCGUACCUGUUACAUGUUAACCUUUGUUCUUCACGGAACGAUAGGUAUCGAUCAUGGGCAGGGGAGGUCGACGACACAAAAUGAAAUCGUUAACGUGCAGUGCGUUAAACAGAAUUAGGCAUAGGCGGUGCGUUUUUUUUAUUCCCGAAUAAUUACGAAAAAAGAAAAAAAAUUGAUCGUCUAUCGACUAACAGGUAUAUUUUCGGGCAUAAAAGGGCUCGUUUUUUUUUUUCGAAGCGUUUAAUCAACGAAUAUGUCAAUCGUCCGAUUUCUCCCCUCGUUAGUAGUUAAUUACACCCGUAUGAUAUUAAGUAAUAAUUAGACCGCAGAUUUUUAUGUAAAUUCAUAUCUCUAUGAAUAUAGUUAGAGAAAGGAAUGGAACACGAAGGCUUGUUUGUUUCACUUACUACGUUUCACAACGAAUACCUUACUUUGGAUGUUUAUAUAUUUCUACUUCUCUUUUUUUUUUAUUUAUUUAUUUACAUUUUACAAUUUGUCCAGUAGGACAUUUGGUAAAAUAUUAUAGCUUAGUGGCAUAAUAAUAUAACAUGUGAAUGGCUACCCCCAGUGGGAUACCAUCUUCGAAUUAUAUAUUUCUACAUGAUGCAUCACAUGCAUUCUUGCAUCCUCCAAGUUCCCGCAAAUGCACAAACAAUCGCAGUCUGAUAAUAAUUAUAGUCGAAAUGCUGAUUGCCAUGUAUUUUUUUUACGAUGCGAAAGAUAUAUUUAGCUAUUAUAGAAGACGGUGUUGACUCGAAAAAGGCUGCAGGAUGUCCAGGAAUAUAGGUAGAAAGAAUGGACAAUACGCGUCGCAUGUAGGAAGAUAUGUAAGAAGCAAAUCAAUGCUAAAGCAAAAUUGCGUUGUAAGAACGCAAAUUGUACGAUACGAAAAAAAUGAGUUUUAAACGAAAUCACUGCAUGCUUAUGUACUGGUGUGGCUCCAUGCUCCAGUACGCUUUAUAUCGAUAGAAGACUCGAUUCUUCAUCCAAAUCGGAGCCAAACACUUUGUACAGUUUCGAUUCUUAUCGUUUCUGCUGACUGUAGAAACUGUCUGUCUGUCUGUCUCUUGUAAGUUUACAUCGUAAGCAGCUGUGUUGCAAGACAUGUGGCGCCGAUAUUCCUGACGACCUCCCGGUAUCUGGCAGGGAGAGAGAGAUCACAGUGAUGCAGCAUCCGUUGAAUAAUUAUUUUUUGAUCUUGCCGCGAAAGUACAUAUCUCUCUAUACCCUCGAACAUGGCUCCUUCAGCAUUUUACUUGUACUAUUUGUAUUUCAUUUUUACAAUGCACGUCAUUUUAUCUUCUUUCUUUUGUUAGAACUCUACCUCUUUUAGUCCAUAUCCUUAUCUAGUAAAUUUAUUUGCAUGAUUUAUUUACGUACUUACGCGAUCGGCAUUAAAUGGUUUGAUUGUGAAUGGCUCACUGGUCAAAUAUAUUUUUCGACAAUUUACGGCGUUAUUACGUCGAAGAGAUUUCAAAGGUUCCAGAAUGAAAUCCUUCAUUUCUGUGAUAGAAUUCAAUGAGAAGUUGCGCACGUGACACGCCUACGUAUUCGACGAUGUGAAAUUUCUCUGCUUUGUUGCUGCUCUUCUAUCGCUGUUAUCUGCUAUGACGCAAUGCCUAUCUUUUAUUGUCGACCGGAAAUUAACCGGCAAUGUCAAUGUUACUUGUACUAUGUACCAUCCACAUUGAGAUUUCCAAUUUAAGUGCAGUGACGUUUAAAAUUUACACAUUCGUCAGCAAGGAAAGCGAGAUCUCUUUACCUUCUUUCUCGUCGUUACUUUUCUUGUUACAUUAGAAACGCGAAAGUAUUGUAAAACGUGAUUUCGUCGUCGAAUCGAUACACGUUCGAAAUUGAGCAUUUGCCUAAGGAAAAACUGGUCCAUCUGCACUUAGUUGCAUAUCGUUUGUUUCAAAUUCGCUCGACUAACACGUCAAGCACCUUAUCUGGUUUCAAAGAUAAAAUUCUGAUAUUAUACAGCCUACUAUACUACCGACUACGACUAUACUUUUGAUAUUUACUAAAAAACGAAAAACUAUCUUUACUUUAUUUAGUGUUCUAUAACAAAUGUGAGUGCAGUUACAACGACGCCAAUAUCAAACAACAGACUUGUAGAUAUUUAUAUAGAUACAUUGCAGAUACUUAUAGAAUGCAAAAUUAUAUAAAUGUUCGUAAUCUCUAAUAUACCUUUCGAGCCGAUUCUCUCGCAAACUAAUCCUCGUACGAUAACAUCACAUUACAUAUUCCUUCCUUGUUUUUUCAUCAGCAAUCACCUGAUGCCCGUUUGUGUAUGUUAUUGAGCCGGACACUGUAUAAAUAUCAAGUUAUAAGACUGGCACGGGCAGAAAAUGUGUGCAGUGUGUAAGAAAAUAGAAUAGAGGUAGAAGGUGAAAAAGUUAGCAGCCAAGGAUGCGCAUAAUAUGCGCAUAAAGUAUGUAUUUUUGGUGUACAAGCAAUUGUCAACGAAUGGCAGAGGUCUAUUACCGCGCAAUUUAUCUGAAAACUUGGUAUUAUUCGUUAAUUAUAGUUUAUUAUCAUUAGAUAUCGCAACAUCGUUUCACUUUACGGAUAACAAUACAUUUGUUUGUCUUUUAAUUACGUAUAAAAUGUUAGAGCGAAUUGCACUUGCAACUACACGCAUUAUAUAAGCUUCAAACAACACUCGGUUACACGAUGUUGAAUUUACUCGUUUUACUUGUCUUACGAAUAUUCGGCGAAAGUUUAGUCCGUAAAUCAAUCUCUUUUAAUUCAGACAUCCUGAAUUUCUGUUUUUGCGUGUGUUCUUUUCAGUAAUACAUUUUUCGCCUGCGAUUUUAAUCGAAUUUUCGUAUUAUUUUAUUGUAUUUUUCGUUUCAUUUAUUGCAUCAAAGGGUCUAAUUUAUUUUGUAUUUAAACGUUUUGUCCAAACAGUAGAAUAACGUUAAACAUAAAUAAACUCGUUAAAAAUUACAAGACGUAAAUCGAGCAACUUAAUCCGAUAUCUGUCCAACUUUUCUCCGAGUUCCGCGUAGAAUUUCCCCGAUGAAAUCGCAACUCAUCAUGAAACCGCGUUUGUCUGUGCCAGGAGUAUAUUGGGCGUCACGUCGUUUUCCUUCUAGAAAUUUCCGGCUUUCCUGGCGAUUGUGCUCGCCUGCUCGGUUACCUCGGUCUCUCCACUGCAAAACGUUCCUGCUUGCCAUCCGCUUACUUAUCUCUCCAAACUUGUGUCUGUUCAUUUACGAGGAGCUUAUCGCGCCUACCUUCCACGCAUUCUCACAGUUGUGCACUCGGCGUGCUAGAAAAUUUGCAUACCACGGUUCUUACUCUGAUUCUUCGCCUCUUUGUUUCGUUCGUCGGAACGAGAACGAAACAGAGACACAAAAAUUCGAAGCCAAGGUUACACGAAGAAGUGGAUCGAAAUGCUCGCAACGAAAAUGAUGCUUAGCCAUCUUCGUGUUUCCAGGGAAAUGAAAAGAUACUCUGCCAUUUUCCUUUAUAAUUUCCAUUUGAUACGUUCCAAUAUCGAUCCCUGUCUCCUUUUCGUUACGAGAAUACCAAUUACAUAUUUUCUUUAAGAUUGAGGUAUGUAAAAGGUUGAAAGAAGCAGGUCUGCGCGUAAAGCUACUAGGCAGGUAUAGGUAAUCGACCGACCAUAGUUGGACCGGAAUCCUGCUUCGUCCUUGAGGAACUCGGAACAUGCUCGAAGGUGAUUCGCGUGAUCUUUCUCCAGAGACCGUACCGUCACAGUUUCAGAUACCAUGAUAUAAUAGCCACAGCUAAAUACGUAACUCUGCGUUGUAUGGUUACAGCGGUAUAGCGAUAAAACUUUCGUCGUGUUCUAUUAUAUCUUUCUUCGCACGCUGUCUGUCUAAUACUAUAGUUUUCCAAGCGUCUGGAUAACAACGGUGUAUUAAAACAAGGAAACUUCCAAGAUGUUUAACGGUCUUGACAUUUUUACUUCGUAACAUGUUAUUAGUAGUAUAUCGUCUAUAUUUAUGCAAAUCCGUGUUUGUUAUGAACGAAAGGCACAAAAAUUCUUUUAAUAGAUUACCCGUAUUCCUUGAUACAUUGCAAAGAUAUUUGCGCUUGCGAAAAGAAACAUCAGACCUAACGAUAUAAGAAUACAAGAAUCACAUUAGCAAUUGAUUAUUGUCAACGUCGUCUUUCGAUGCUAUAAUUAGUAGAAGUUAUCCGCUAAAUUUCCCGCAAGUGCAUAAACAUCUGCAGCCUAAUUACUAUAGAUUAUACGUACUACUGUCUUGUUAUUGUGACAAUUAACGUUCCUAUAACAGCGGAGUCGGUUAUUAUACAUUUCAAGGUUACUUAAAGCACAUUUUAAAGUGGCCAUGACAAAACGGGAGCAAAUAUCGGCUGAAUUGGAGUUCGAUUCACGCCGAAAACGAACUGUUGGAUAUUCUCUGCUCCAAGGCCAUUCGCCAAGAAGAGAAUCGUAAGUGCAUAUAGUUGCGAUUCGUGCGUCUGGCCGGCAGGUAUGGCGAACGCGUGAACGCAUAAGACGCGAUCCACGAGAUCCACGAUGAAACCAGUUUUUAAAACGUGACUCACGAUUGUCCCGUAUCAUAUGCGACAUGCUGUAAAAAUAGCUUAGUCAGAACUCGUUCCUGAACAUCCUCGAGCAACCGCCUUGCUCGCCAAGCACGGCCAACAAUGUUCGCGCGAACGAACCGCGAAAAACGUUUGUGCAUCAUGUGCAUACCUAUUAGAAAAACGCUGACGCGCCUGUAUUCCUGCAUUUCCGACGUCAUUUAACCGAUACUGAGUCACGCUUUUCCAUUCCGGUGUUCUUCGUGGCUCGUUCUUUUCGAUUAUAUAUUCCGCGUGUAAGGAUCGCGCGUCGUCAAUUUUUUUCACGCGUCGAACAUCGCACGCGAUCGAGAACCGGCUGGUUUGAACUUCGUUCAAGAAAUAUUUCGCAACUUUCGCACUGUGUGCAAUUUCUUGGCUGCAGACUUUCGCAGAAAGCAUUCUAAAGCCGUGCAACGUAAGCGUUCGCAGUAAAUUCAACCGUUUUCCUUACGAGUAACUUUUUAAAUGUUAUUAUUCCAAAUAUUGAGACUUCUAAGUAUUUCCAGUGCAUGUUCCUCUUUUUCAACGUAUGAAAUGUCCGAUUCUGUUCUAUCUAUGUUCUAUGUAUUUGUAGAUGUAUCAUUCUAUGUUAUUUUAACUCUUGGACGGCACGCUAAAAUAAUUAAAAUAGAUAGAAGACGUUUAGCUGCUUUAUCAUUUGCACUUGAAAUAUACGUAUAUAUUUGUGGAUAUAUUUUGCGUAUUUUAAUUUCUAUAUUUUAGACCUAUGUAAGGACUGAGUCAAAAAGGAACCUUCCUGGGACACGCACGAAAAAGGAUCUAUACACGUGUAAAAUGUUCCGCAAGGAAAGAAGCGAUUUGUAAUAUCGGCAACGAGACAAGAUGCAAACGUAACCGUGCAAUUAUGGAUGUCGAUAAAGAUAAGGCAUGUCGAUGUUACGUAAAGGUUUAACAUCCGGAAGUGGCGCGACGCAUGCAGCCUACGUAAUAGGAAACUAUCUCCCUUUGCCUCUUCCUUUUGAUUUCUUUCACUUUUAUGCUUCCACGCGAUUUCCAUCCUCGUUGUGUCCGUCAUAGAUCAUACUUAUGCAUGACGCACGAUGAAUAUCGUGUAGUAAUCCUACUGCCUGCUUGAGUUGUGAUACAUAAAUAAAAAAACACUUUUACCAACUAGAAAGAUAAAAAGUUAAUAAUGCAGGGCGAACAAGUAUCAACUCGACACGUUCUACUCGACACAAAUAUUUUAAGAAUAUUUACAAAUAUAGUUUAUGAAAUAUGUUUUCGCUGUUAUCGCGUUCAUAAAUAUCGUAUUUGUUUUUUUUUUAUUUAUUUAUUAAAAUUACAAUCAAUUCUUGCGUUGAGAAUAUAAAUAUUGUAUUAUGGAGAGAAAACCGUCGGACAUCUCGAUGAAUCACAGUUAGAAAACAAUAAAAGUGCUUACAGGCCGGGAAAGAUGAGAAAUCCCGGUGGGUCAUUACUUUUUUAUUUAAAGAUGUUUAUUAAACCCAAGAUACAAUUUUAAAUACAUUUUGGUAUUCACAAUAAACGGUGAAUUUUUGUAGUGAUGUUUUAGGAAAAAGUACCGAUACGCAACGGCGCUUUGCAUUUUUCGUGUUUAGUAUAAUUUUUGGGUUUAAGCCGCUGGGGGAGCGGAGCUUCUAUGUGAUUUUGUUUUUGUUUGUUUUUUCUGUCCUGAAAACUUGGUCGCAAAACAGGACUCUUCGGUAGCUUGCUUUUUGGGUACUGUGUAACUUUGGGGAGGGGUGGGAUGAGAGGGAUGGGGGGGUCAUUACCUGUCGCCCUAUAUGACUACUUGUGUCAAUACCUGCAAAACACGUGUACGUUGUAGCAAUAACGAAAGCUCUAGGUACAAAGGCUUCCUUGGUGAAGCUCCAAUUAAUUUCGGGAUAAUAGUUAUUCGUGAGUUGUCCAGUCGUUGUGAGUUAUUAGUUGUAAGAAGUCGAACCGUUGUAAGUUGUCGAAUCAUUGUGAGUUGUUAGUUGCAAGGUACAGUACUUAAAGAAAUUUAGUUGCUUUAGUUGUAUCACAUUAUUGCACUAAGUUCUAAUUAAAUAGAUAUAGUCCUUUCUCUGUUUCAAUCACGAUAGAUAAAUCUAUAUAAUAAACAAAGAUCGGUAUAAUCCUGAUCUUUAUAAUGUUUUCCCAGUAGAACUUAUUUCGUGUUUUUGCAAUCGUCUCGCGAUCUUUCGAGGAAACAGUAUAAAAAUGGAACGGAAAGAUGGAACUUUUAAAUACUUUGAUCCGGAUGAUAGCAAAAUUCUCAGAAUAACGCGUAAAAUAACACGGGAAAACAAUUCAGAGCGCUGGAAAAGCUUGAAACGUUCGAAGCUUUGAUGUUGGAAACUUUCGCUAAAUCUCGAUAUAGAAACGAAGAAACGAACAUCGGAAUAAAGAGACGCGAAAGGAUAAUUAGACGCAUUUCAAAAGAAUUCCGAAGAUGGAAUUGUGGUUUUAAAUUGACUUUUGGUCAACUGAGUAAAACUAGGUAAAAGUUAUCCUUUUAACGUUCUUUUCUAAAACAGGUUACACGAGAGCCGAUGUUCUUUUUAUUAGCUACUAUAGGAGUUUCCUCCUUUCUUUCUUUCGUUCUUUCUUUCAAUAGCUCGUGCAUUUUUUUCCACGUUGGCGAUUCUUUGGGCGCAUUCUCGCGACAAGCGUGCAUUGUUCUACGAAGCGACGUGAAAACGCAGAUCGCGAAGAAUCGAAACGAUUCCCGAGCAUUUCUGCGCGUUGCGCCGUACAUUUCUCUUUCACGGGCAACGUUUUUAUCUGUUCCCUUACGCGCAAGGAAGUUCCGUUCGAAAUUCUACUCUUUGUUUCCUCGAAAGGUCCGUAAUUAAAGAGAAAUUUCGUACAGCGCUACGAAAUAAGUAUUUCCUUCUGCAGCAACUUCUAACGACACGCUAAUGUUCCUGCGCGUGAUAAUCGCAAGAAGAAACUAGUUUUCUCUCGAUCUACUUUUUUUCUAUCUGCUAUAAUCCAGUCUGUUUGGAAAAGAAAAUUGCAAAUUAUUUCUCGAUAUCGCGUUAACAUCAACAAAUAUUAGAUUGCCCGAAAAGUUUCUUUCGUUUCAUAAGGUGAUCAUAGAUGAACAACAAUUUCUGUUUUAUAUUAUUUUAUUAUUACUGAAAAUUCUCAACGCGAGAAUUGAUUGUAAUUUUAAUAAAUAAAUAAAUAAAUAAAAAACAAAUAUUAUUUUAUCGAAUCAGGUCCAUUUUGUUCUAUUUCUAUUAUUAUGUUCGUGCACAAUUCAAUAAACUAAUAUAUUUUUUUUAUUUAUUUGUUAAAAUAUACGAUCAAUUCUCGCAUUGAGAAUUUUCGGUAAUUUUUUCUGGCGUGGCGCAGUGACAUGGCUAAUUAUUUAUAAUAAGUUAAUACUUAUUAUAGAUAAGUAUAAUUUAUAAAUAUUAUAAAUAAGUAAAUAUUACUUAAUUUAGAUAACUAAUUGAAUCUAGCGUUUAGGUCUAGCGGGUAGUGUCUCUUUAGCCUGUUUCUUUUUUUUUUUAUUUAUUUAUUUACAUUUUACAAUUUGUCCAGUAGGACAUUUGGUAAAAUAUUAUAGCUUAAUGGUAUAAUAAUAUAACAUGUGGAUGGCUACCCACAGUGGGAUACCAUCUUCGAAUCUCUUCAGCCUGUGGAUCUCAAUAAACUAAUAUAAAACAAAAAACAAUGUGCGUCUAUUAUUUCCUUAUAAAACGAAAGAAACAUUUCGGACAACCUAAUGUAUAUAGAAAUUGAAAAUUCGUAGGUAAUUUUAUAGUUACGAAACGUAGACACAUAUAAAUGUUCUACCUGAAUUCAACUCGCAACAAAAUAAAUCAAUCAAAUUCGAAGAUGGUAUCCCACUGGGGGUAGCCAUCCACAUGCUAUAUUACUAUAUCACUAAGCUAUAAUAUUUUACCAAAUGUCCUACUGGACAAAUUGUAAAAUGUAAAUAAAUAAAUAAAAAAAAAAAAAACUCGCAACGGUUGAAACACAGUGUCAUGAUGUGUUUUAGAGUGUACAAGGAGCGAAAAGAAGCAACGAGGAACAGCAUGUACGCAACAAGUAAGUGUUCGUAACAGUUUCCAUCGAUUCAUUCGAAUCACGACGAAUCAACGAAAAGGUCGUGGCUCGUUAUAGUCCCCUUUGGUUCGUCUGUUAAUCUAACGGUUCAAUGACACGUGGGAAAUUUUCAGAAUCGAGGACAGUUGGCCGCGUAUACAAAUAUGGCCUGCUUGUAUUUUCCUUCCUCUCUUGCGUUACAUUGCCACCGAGUAGACCACGACCGCCCACUAUUCUCUUCUUACGACAUUUUAUCAGCGUAAUCAGGAGAGCCGUGUAUCGUUACAGCGCAGAUAAAGUUUCAGUAACAGGUAAAGCGUACUCAUAUUCGCAAGCGUUUUCCGCGAUAAGAGUUCAAAUACUUUCGCGCGUCACUGCGUAUCUCUUCACGUUUGAAUCCAUUUUUUCCCUCCGUCGAUAGCAGUUUUAAGUUCUAGCCUGUGAUUCGCACUCGUUCGAACGUUGCAUGUUCGAUAAAAGAUAGGGAAAACAUUCUGCAAUUAUAGCCGACAUCUGCAAAUUCUCCCCGCAUUCCGCAAAUCAUCAACUAUCUCUGUGGUUAAUUAAAACGGCAGAUAAGAAAUAAUUAUUUAUUGUUGAAGUGGUCACCACUUGUAAGAAAACUCUACAUCUGGUUUUUUUCUUUUUUUUUUUCUUUCUCAACGCGAGAAUUGAUUGUAAUUUUAAUAAAUAAAAUAAAAAAAAAAAUCUGGUCUUUUUAGUUUUCUCAAGCACCGAAGCCAUCGACAGCGCGUAGACAAAAGACUGCGACGAAGUCAGACCAUAAACAGUAGACAGGCGACGUUGGCUUCGGGGUUUUCAGUUAUUGGGUGACACAGCUAGCGUGCGGAUCUGGACCAGCUCAAAUUGUAUUCUUACUUAUAAUUACACUUCUAUUUAAAUAUAUUUUCUGCCUUACAAUUUAUCCACGAGUUUUCUCUGUUUACACAUCGAAUAACCUCAACAGGUCAUGGGCCCAGAGCUGUAAAUUGCAAGGCAGCAACGUGAAGCGGAUAAAUUGUUAAAGUGUUGCGCUUAGUAAAGUAAAGGAUAGUGCUAAAAUGGAGUCAGCAAGUGCGAAGAUCGAGAUGUUACGUGGCGAAGAAAAUUGGCUCCAGUGGCGUUUUGUUAUGCGUAUCCACUUUUGGAGGAAGAUGACGACCUGAUCAACGUGUGUGAAGGGAAUCUGUGUCGUCCAGGUAACAGCGCGGAGAAAGAAAUCGCUCGUGAAAGAUUUUUGAAGGCAGAUCGGUUAGCGAGAAAAUUAAUCGUGACUUCAGUAGGAGGGAAACCGUUGGAUCUUCUUUUAUGUUGCACAACGGCAUAUGAAAUGUGGAAAAGGUUGAAUACAGUAUAUGACAUGAAGUCGAAUGAGAAUCUAAAUAUGUUCCAGAAGCAGUUCUUCGAUUUUAAAUGGGAAGAAUCUGUAAAUCUGUAAAUCAUCAACUAUCUCUGUGGUUAAUUAAAACGGCAGAUAAAAAAUAACUAUUUAUUGUUGAAGUGGUCACCACUUGUAAGAAAACUCUACAUCUGCUCUUUUUAGUUUUCUCAAGCACCGAAGCCAUCGACAGCGCAUAGACAAAAGACUGCGACGAAGUCAGACUAUAAACAGUAGACAGGCGACUUUGGCUUCGGGGUUUUCAGUUAUUGGGUGACACAGCUAGCGUGCGGAUCUGGACCAGCUCAAAUUGUAUUCUUACUUAUAAUUACACUUCUAUUUAAAUAUAUUUUCUGCCUUACAAUUUAUCCACGAGUUUUCUCUGUUUACACAUCGAAUAACCUCAACAUUUAUAAUUCCACUGAGUACAGUUUUUGGAGAUAUUUGGUCCCAAACGUUCUACGAUUCUGAUAAUCAGACCGCGGUUUCCUUGUGUGCACUUCUAGGAAAUCUGAAACUGCGACAAUGCGCAGAAUGGCACGUAACGUAGAAAUAAAAAUGGAAAAAUAUAUAAAAUAUUCAAACUACGGUACUACUUAUCAUAACUAGAUUGCAAAUACGAUUAAUACGAUUAAACAAAUGGAACGUAAAUUAGAAAUUUUCUACUGGAUAUUAGGAGAAGUACGCUUACUUUCGACGUAUUAUUCUACCAUAAAUUUCCCAUAAUAGCGUAAACAUUCCCAGAUAAUAUUUUGCGAGUAAAAUGAUUCUUCCAUUGGAUUCCAUUUUUUUAAUUAUAUCCGUAAAAAUAGGAAUUUGCAUAAUUAUCCGCAAUCCGACUGGUAACGAUAAUUCCAAUUUUAACAUGUUCCAGGUGUGCCUAAAAUUCGUCGAAGAGAUGUUCUCCAAGUUCCCAGCACCAUACGAACGUCUCUCAUACCAAAGCGUAGUUCUCAAACAGUACGUAUAACGUCGAUACAAUAUCGAAAAAUUUAAAUACUGACGAUAAUAUCGACCUGUCUGAAUGCUCAGUAAAGAUCGCUCUUAAAAGUUACGCCAAACGCGACAAGCACGAAACAAAGUCGAAACAGGAAAUUUAUUAUUUCAGAUGGGUUUCUCCGAAUGUGAUGGCACGCAGCCAAACGGGUGCAAAGGACGUUUACGUUUGGCAGGAGUAACAAAAGGAAGAAACAUAUCCUGCUAAAAGCCAUAAUUUAACCAGGUAGUAGCGCAUAGACAAACGAGCAAGCAGGCUCGAAAAUACGUACAAUUUCAUACACUUGUCCGAUAAAAAAACGUUUAAUCUGAUUUGCGUAUCGUUCUAUCGCGCAAUCAUAGAAACGUUUCGUUAGAGAACUAACGCUAUAAAAAUUCUUGUUCAGGCAAGAAAUCGUUGCUGUUGGCAGUUUGAAAAUGCAAAUUGUCGUGCAAGUGUUCGAUUUCUUGCACACCUUUGACCGCUGCGUUGCAACGUGUCGAUUCGUUGCGUCCAUCUUUUUCCAACCUCUCGCAAAAUGUACUGCGAUUGCGCAAUGUGUACGAACUGCGAAAAGAAGUUCUUACGACGCAUGCGCGUACUUUUGCGCGCGUGAGGAAUUAAUUAUGAACAAAUUAUAAAUCGUUCAUUGAAAUCGAAAGAAGUUAACAAGUGUUCGAACUGCGCUUGUUUAUGCCUAAUAAGUAGUUUAGUCUGAAUAUUUUAUGCGUCGUAUGCUCGCAUAUUGCGUGCUGUCUAUAGGUUUUUACGCUUAUAAAUUUUUCAUAAAUGCAAUAAACACUCGGGAUAAUCGUCUGUUUAAACAUCUAUCGAUAAGAAUUUAUUCGCGAUCUAAUAAAUUCAGUUAUCGCAUUGCGAUACUUAAAAGUGGAACGUUUUUCUAUAGAAUGAAUAUAAAGUAGGCUCGAACAGAUAAGGUAAAUGCUUGAACAGAUUUAACAAGAAUAGAAAAUGGCUUUUUGCUCGAUAUGCAAUACGAAAAUAUUGAUGAUACGUAUGGUAGGGGCGUUAUAUACAGGGUGGUUGGUAACUGGUGGUACAAGCGGAAAGGGGGUGAUUCUACGCGAAAAAGAAGUCGAAAAUAUAGAAUAAAAAUUUUUUUUUUUUUUUACUUUUUCCAUCGAGACAACGAUCCACAGUGAGAUUCGUUAUAACGUACCGCACGCGUACCGAGCGAAAAUUCAAAGUCGAUUUUCUCGAAAACAAAGCCUCGAACGAAAAAUUUUUAUUCCAUAUUUUCGACUUCUUUUUUCGCGUAGAAUCACCCCCUUUUCGCUUGUACCACCAAUUGCCAACCACCCUGUAUAUAAACAAAUUAAUUCUACGCAUUGAUUCCUGCUUGAAAUUUGUUUUUUUUUUUUUUUUUUUUUUGUUUAAUGAAUAUUACAAUAUCGCUCGAGCGAAUAAUACAGCGAAAUAUGGGGUCCGAUGUAUUGUCACGAGGUCAAAAUGUUUUCUAUUUUUAGUUGGAACGUGACGCAAAUAACGCAAGCGUCGAUCCGAAGAACUAAUUCGAGAGGAACGUUGAACUUUCCGUGCUGUAAGAAAUCUAACAGCAGAUAUGAUUCACGGAUAAUUUAUCUAAUAUCUGUGUGUGUUAUAGUUGUGCAAACGUUACAAUGAAAAUGCAAACGAGUAUUGUGAACUCCCGCGAUCGGCCAAGAUAGGGAACAUUUCUAGCAAAACAACGUAUUAUGCAUGAAAUUAGGGAAGCACCAAAAUUAUUUUGCGGCAAAGUUAUUGUUACUGAAUUAUUUUUUUCUUCUUUUUUUUAACAAUGGCAAACAUUAAUCGUACUUACGAUUCGAUCGGAAUAUGAAGAAUUCAACGAUAUAAAUUAACUGAAAUAGAUUAGAGAAUGGAAGCUUGCAUCAAAUGCAGCGUUGAUCCUCUGUCAAAUACUUAAGAAUUAAACA